GACGAACGCUGGCGGCGUGCUUAACACAUGCAUUUCGAACGGAAGUAAAGAUUUCGGUUUUUACUUUAGUGGCGAACGGGUGAGUAACGCGUGAGGAACCUGCCUUUCAGUGGGGGACAACAGUUGGAAACGACUGCUAAUACCGCAUAAUACUAAUUGACGGCAUCGUUGAUUAGUCAAAGAUUUAUUGCUGAAAGAUGGCCUCGCGUCUGAUUAGCUAGUUGGUGGGGUAACGGCCCACCAAGGCGACGAUCAGUAGCCGGACUGAGAGGUUGACCGGCCACAUUGGGACUGAGAUACGGCCCAGACUCCUACGGGAGGCAGCAGUGGGGAAUAUUGGGCAAUGGGCGAAAGCCUGACCCAGCAACGCCGCGUGAAGGAAGAAGGCCUUCGGGUUGUAAACUUCUUUUACCAGGGACGAACACAAUGACGGUACCUGGAGAAAAAGCAACGGCUAACUACGUGCCAGCAGCCGCGGUAAUACGUAGGUUGCAAGCGUUGUCCGGAAUUACUGGGUGUAAAGGGCGUGUAGGCGGAGAUGCAAGUUGGGAGUGAAAUCCAUGGGCUCAACCCAUGAACUGCUUUCAAAACUGCAUCCCUUGAGUAUCGGAGAGGCAAGCGGAAUUCCUAGUGUAGGGGUGAAAUGCGUAGAUAUUCGGAGGAACACCAGUGGCGAAGGCGGCUUGCUGGGCUCUAACUGACGCUGAGGCCCGAAAGCGUGGGGAGCAAACAGGAUUAGAUACCCUGGUAGUCCACGCCGUAAACGAUGAUUACUAGGUGUGGGGGGUCUGACCCCUUCCGUGCCGCAGUUAACGCAAUAAGUAAUCCACCUGGGGAGUACGGCCGCAAGGCUGAAACUCAAAGGAAUUGACGGGGGCCCGCACAAGCAGUGGAUUAUGUGGUUUAAUUCGAAGCAACGCGAAGAACCUUACCAGGUCUUGACAUCUCCUGCAUAACCUAGAGAUAGGUGAAGUCCUUCGGGACAGGAUGACAGGUGGUGCAUGGUUGUCGUCAGCUCGUGUCGUGAGAUGUUGGGUUAAGUCCCGCAACGAGCGCAACCCUUGCCAUUAGUUGCUACGCGAGAGCACUCUAAUGGGACCGCUACCGACAAGGUGGAGGAAGGUGGGGAUGACGUCAAAUCAUCAUGCCCCUUAUGACCUGGGCUACACACGUAAUACAAUGGCCAUCAACAGAGGGUCGCAAUACCGCGAGGUGGAGCCAAUCCCUAAAAAUGGUCUCAGUUCGGAUCGCAGGCUGCAACCCGCCUGCGUGAAGCUGGAAUAACUAGUAAUCGCGGAUCAGCAUGCCGCGGUGAAUAC
rnacentral:rRNA from 1 species